CGCAGUAUGGCGGGCGGGGCCCGGGAGGUGCUGACACUGCAGUUGGGACAUUUUGCCGGUUUCGUGGGCGCGCACUGGUGGAACCAGCAGGAUGCUGCGCUGGGCCGAGCGACCGAUUCCAAGGAGCCCCCGGGAGAGCUGUGCCCCGACGUCCUGUAUCGUACGGGCCGGACGCUGCACGGCCAGGAGACCUACACGCCGCGACUCAUCCUCAUGGAUCUGAAGGGUAGUUUGAGCUCCCUAAAAGAGGAAGGUGGACUCUACAGGGACAAACAGUUGGAUGCUGCAAUAGCAUGGUGUGUAACUGAUGUAUGGAUAAGGGUGGGGAUCGUGUAUGUACGCAGAACGCUGGAUAACUGAUCAGAGUGCAGUUUCUUUGAUCAAUCUCCAAACUCUUUCAGGCAGGGGAAACUCACCACACACAAAGAGGAACUCUAUCCCAAGAACCCUUAUCUCCAAGACUUUCUGAGUGCAGAGGUGAGGGCCUCUGUCCUGAACUUUUUAACCCAGUGCUACAACCCAAGGGUCUCCAU
rnacentral:sRNA from 1 species